ensembl:snRNA Gm25512 predicted gene, 25512
GUGCUCGCUUCGGCAGCACAUAGACUAAAAUUGAAAUGAUACAGAGAAGAUUAUCAUGGCCCCUGUGUAAAGAUAACACACAAAUUUGUGAAGCGUUCCAUAUUUAA